UUUUCGAGAUUUUUUUAAAUUUAUAGGUUUUGUGGUUUGCGAAGGAAGGAAUGUGUGGUGGGCGAAAAUUUAAAUCACAGCACUGUACUCCGGUAUCUUGAACUCCGAAAGAAAACCCAACUUAAUAAAUAAAAUGUGAGUACACUACGUAAAGUAAGGCAGAAAUCAAAGAAUUACCAUAAAAGAAAAGGCAAAAGAAAACAAAGGAAAAGGCGAAAAAAUUUUUGGAAGGAAAAAAUAUGGAAUUGCAGUGCAAGAGUGCUUGUUUAAAUUUUGGGGAAAAUUUCGAUGAGAUGGGGAUUUCCUUUCUACCAAAACAAACAAGGAAUCUCAACGAAAUG